GACGAACGCUGGCGGCGUGCUUAACACAUGCAAGUCAAGGGGGCCCAGCAAUGGGCAACCGGCGAACGGGUGCGUAACACGUGAGCAACCUACCGAAAUGUGGGGGAUAGCCGGCCUAACGGCCGAGUAAUACCGCAUACGCUUUCAGAGAGGCAUUUCUUUGGAAGGAAACCUACGGGACAUUUCGAGGGGCUCGCGGCCUAUCAGCUAGUUGGCGAGGUAACGGCUCACCAAGGCAACGACGGGUAGCUGGUCUGAGAGGAUGGCCAGCCACAUUGGGACUGAGAUACGGCCCAGACUCCUACGGGAGGCAGCAGUGGGGAAUCUUGCGCAAUGGCCGAAAGCCUGAACGCAGCGACGCCGCGUGUGGGAGGACGCC
rnacentral:rRNA from 1 species